rnacentral:rRNA from 1 species
UGAGGAAUAUUGCACAAUGGGCGCAAGCCUGAUGCAGCGACGCCGCGUGAGUGACGAAGGCCUUCGGGUCGUAAAGCUCUUUUCUGCGUGACGAGCAAGGACGGUAGCGCAGGAAGAAGUCUCGGCUAACUACGUGCCAGCAGCCGCGGUAAAACGUAGGAGACAAACGUUAUCCGGAGUUACUGGGCGUAAAGGGCGUGCAGGUGGCUGUUUAAGUUCGGCGUGAAAGCCUCCGGCUAAACCGGGGGAGGUCGUCGGAAACUGGACAGCUUGAGGGUGAUAGAGGCGGGUGGAAUUCCGGGUGUAGUGGUGAAAUGCGUAGAGAUCCGGAGGAACACCAGUGGCGAAGGCGACCCGCUGGGUCACACCUGACACUGAGACGCGACAGCAUGGGGAGCGAACGGG